UACGAAGGGGGCUAGCGUUGUUCGGAAUUAUUGGGCGUAAAGGGCGCGUAGGCGGCUUUGCGUGUCUUUCGUGAAAUCCCUCGGCUCAACUGAGGACGUGCGGAAGAAACUGCAGGGCUGGAGUCCGGGAGAGGAGGGUGGAAUUCCCAGUGUAGCGGUGAAAUGCGUAGAUAUUGGGAGGAACACCGGUGGCGAAGGCGGCCCUCUGGACCGGUACUGACGCUGAUGCGCGAAAGCGUGGGGAGCAAACGGG
rnacentral:rRNA from 1 species